rnacentral:tRNA from 1 species
AUUUCUUUAGUAUAACAAAUACCACUGACUUCCAAUCAGCCAAUUCUAGUCCAAACCUAGAAAGAAAUA